rnacentral:lncRNA from 1 species
UCCUGCAAACUGCACCCGCAACACCGGAAAACAUACAAGAUGGCCAGAGCUUACAAACCUGGACAGUGAUAUCGCCUGAUUUAUGGUUUGAGGAAAACACAUCCGCCAGCUCUCUGGAUUCCGCGUGGACACAACUGGGGAAUGUGGUGCGCUCAUCUGCUCACCUGACUCAUCUUCUAGGAAUGUUGGGGGAUCCAAUCAGAGGGCGUGUGUCUGCCAGAGCCUCAAAAACAUCUUUGGCUUCAUCCUCCUUGCUCUUUCUGCUUUUUUUCUACCCCCUAUUUUAUGACUGAUGAUCCUCUCCCGUUUCAUCGCUCCUUGACACCCAGUUCCGGAUGAGACUCAGUGUUUGCUUCUGAUGGAGAAGAAGAGUCGCUCUGCCCUUGGCAAGCAAAGAAGAAAACUAAUUUCAGCGCAUGAGUUUACAAACUUUUUUGCAAAACAAGUUUGGAACGCUCUGCCACCAAAUAUUGUCAAUCAGCAUUCUUGGCACGCCUGCUUCAUUAGAUGCUAUGCAAGUCAUGCGGUUCUACUGCAGUGCCUUGCAAAUAACUGCAGCGAACGGCUGCUGAAUGGAACUGAAAUCGAAUGGCGUGAACCAAAUUGUCAUGAAUUGAAGAGCCAGGUAGCUGAGGCUUCAUCGUCUUUUACCCGGGUACUUCCUGUGCCCUGUGCCUCAAUUUUGUGCUUGGUCAUAUU